UUUAUUUAUAGGUAUGUAGGUAUAAGCUGAAAAUAGAUAUAGGAUUGUGACACACAUCAUGACAUGUUUAGAUAUAUUGAUAAAAUUAUUUCAACACAUUAAGUAUAAAAUUUAGUAACACACUUUACAUUAAAAGAACCUUUAGCUUUUUCAAAAAACCAUAGGUUAUAAAUUGAGAUGAUUGAGAUUCAUUGUUCUCACAAAUAUUCAUAAUGAAUUACUUUAGUGUUUUGUUUUUGGUCUUUUUAUUCUUCCAUGGUUAUGCUCAAGCUUUUGACUAUUGGAAGAUUUCACAAUUUGGGCCAAGAGGCCUUUGUCAUGGUAGUCCUUCAUGUCUGAAAACAAAACCAAAACCAUUGGAGUUCACUAUACAUGGUUUAUGGCCAUCUAACUGGAAAGGACCACUUUCCUGCACACAAGAACAAUUCAAUCUUUCUCUGGUAAGAUUUCUAUUUCUUAAUAAUAGUAUUUUGAUAUAAUACUGGAAAGUGAUAUUCUUUGUUUAUUUUAUUAGAUAACAAAAGACUUAGAUGCUCACCUUAAACAAGUUUGGCCAAGUUAUUAUGCUAAUGGUGAUGUAAAGUUUUGGAAGCACGAGUGGAAGGAUCAUGGAACGUGCUCUAACCUGCAACAAUUUGAUUUCUUCACAUUGAGCAUAGAUAUCUACGAAAGGAACAAUCUGACAUAUACUUAAAAAUGCAGGUAUAGUAAAUGGUAAAAGAUAUAAUAGAAAUAUUAUCAGCUUAGCCAUAGGCAGAGCAUUGCAUGUUCAACCACAACUAAUCUGUAAAUCUACUUCUAAAUCUACUGUGUCUAUUCUAACUGAAAUAAGGAUCUGUUUAGACAAAAGCAGAAUCCCCCAGUAGAUCAGUUGUGCUCCACCAUCACCACUAGUAGCUUGUGCUAACUCUAUAGACUUUAUUUAAUAAUAUAUAAUAUAAUAUAACUAAUUAAUGAAUAAUUCAAAUAUUAAAUACACAUAUCUACAAUUAUAUGUUAUAGCUUUUCUGUUGGGACUCGGUAUGCUACCCUCCCUAUGUUAUGUUAUCUUCUACGUCACUCAUAAAUAAAGACUUCAGUUCUAUACUUCUAUUCUGUUGCAUAUAUAUCUUUUUCUUCUUUAAUUUGUGUUUAUUAUUCAGUUCACUAUUCAGUUCUAUACUCAUAAAUUUGAACUUUCUUCAUACAUUAACAUUAACUAUGAUUCGUAUAAGUAUCAUAACUAUGAUUACUUCCAACAUUAACAUUUCAAAGUUGAGAAUGCGGUUUCUGCAAAUUGGUUCACUGAGUCCUCCCAUUUGCAACUUCAAGUUGGUUCUGAAUGACAAACAACAAUUAAUUUAAAUGUGAAAGAUACUUAAUACUCACUGUAUCUUACAAAAUUGAUUUCAUAUGCAGAGAUUUUUAAUAUUAUCAAGAAGACAACAUUUUACUGACUUUUUUUCAUUGUAAAAAAAAUUAUGAUGUCAAUCAACAUAAAAUAAAGCAUCCUUAGUUUGUUCCCGUUUCCAUAUUCCCAAGCCUGAAUUUUAUUUCAAUACUAAAUUCAUUAAAUUUACUCAAUAAUAUGAGAAAAUAUUAUAAUCUGUAAAUGAUUUUGUGAAAUAAAAUUUAUAUGGGAACCCUUUAAACUUUGUGUAAAUUUUAGUUAAAGAAGCUAUGUAUAACUUACUGGUGAAACAGUUCAAGGGUUUUGAGAGACAUGAAACAAACUCUCUCGGACUUGCAAAUAUCUCUAUGAUUCCCCCUGCUUGUUUUGAUUGAAAGGCAUGUAUAUUUAAACAUGUAAAUUAUUAAGCUAAUAACUUGCGUUUGCAUAAUAAGAAUACACAUAUUUUGGAAAUGAUCUUCAUAAAACCAUUACUAUUGAAGUGAACAAAUGGAAUGGCAUUUCAAAGAGCAAAUUAAUGGUAAUCACACCCCAUGUUUCAGAGCAAGCUUUGGCGAAAUUUGUGCCCUCAAGUUAUCCCAGUCAAUCCCUUGGACGAAUUUGCAAAAGUGCCAUGGAAUUAAUGAAAGUGAAUAAAAACUACGAAAAAGUCCUAAGCCUUACAACCAAUACAAAAUCAAUGGAUAAAGGUUAGAGGAAUGAAAUUGAACAUUGCUACUCCCAAAUUAACAAAAAAAUACUUGCAAAAUUCAUCCCGUCAAAAUCCAUAUAAGACAAAAACUCAAUAAAAAAACAAAAAGCAAAGAACAAGAGAGAUAAAAAUAUUAACUUUUUUCUCUCUGUUCAUAAAAUGCAAAGAACCCAUAAGAACAAAAACUACAUCAGAACCACUAAAUUUAUGAGAUUCCCAAAUGCAAAACAAAAACUACAAAGAAAAGGUGAAGAACACAAGCUUCUUUACCAUCUUAUUUUGCAAAUUAAAUGAAAAAUUGAAACAUUUUUUUUCCAAUUCUAAUUAAAAAGGUGGAGUUGAGGAAGAACCAAAAGAGCGAGGAGGAGAACAAACCUAAAACAACUGAAUCCGACCAAUCCACGACCUUGCGAUUUGAGCUUCACAUAAGGCUCCAACGACACGCUUGAAACCGCAUGGAUUAGGUUUUCUCUUAAUGGCCAAAUUCGCAAUACCGUCGCGUUGCUGAAAGCAGAUAGUAAAUUUUUAGGAUUCAAAGAAAGAAAUGAAAGGGUUUAGGGUUUCGAAAGAGAAGAAAUAGACGGGGUUUCAAAGAUAUGCGAAAUAGAAUCUUUUGGGGGUAAUUUAUUUUUCGGAAAUGUUUCGGAGGGAAUUGGGAAAAUUAUGUUUGGAGAAAAGAAAAAUAUUAU
rnacentral:lncRNA from 1 species